UACGAAGGGGGCUAGCGUUGCUCGGAAUCACUGGGCGUAAAGGGUGCGUAGGCGGGUCUUUAAGUCAGGGUGAAGUCCUAGGAGCUCAACUCCAGAACUGCCUUUGAUACUGAACGAUCUUGAGUUCGGGAGAGGUGAGUGGAACUGCGAGUGUAGAGGUGAAAUUCGUAGAUAUUCGCAAGAACACCAGUGGCGAAGGCGGCUCACUGGCCCGAUACUGACGCUGAGGUGCGAAAGCGUGGGGAGCA
rnacentral:rRNA from 1 species